rnacentral:rRNA from 1 species
GAUGAACGCUGGCGGCGUGCCUAAUACAUGCAAGUCGAGCGAACAGAUGAGGAGCUUGCUCCUCUGACGUUAGCGGCGGACGGGUGAGUAACACGUGGAUAACCUACCUAUAAGACUGGGAUAACUUCGGGAAACCGUAGCUAAUACCGGAUAAUAUAUUGAACCGCAUGGUUCAAUAGUGAAAGACGGUUUUGCUGUCACUUAUAGAUGGAUCCGCGCCGCAUUAGCUAGUUGGUAAGGUAACGGCUUACCAAGGCAACGAUGCGUAGCCGACCUGAGAGGGUGGUCGGCCAAACGGGAACUGAGACACGGAACAGACUACUACGGGAGGAAGCAGUAGGGAAUAGUGCGCAAUGGGCGAAAGCAUGACGGAGCAAAGCCGCGUGAGUGAUGAAGGUCUUCGGAUCGUAAAACUCUGUUAUUAGGGAAGAACAAAUGUGUAAGAAACUAUGCACGUAUUGACGGUACCUAAUCAGAAAGCCACGGCUAACUACGUG